AGUAAAUAGAUACCCCGGUAGUCCACGCUGUAAACGAUGUCAACUAGAUGUAGGGGGUGGUUGAUCCCCUCCUGUGUCGCAGCUAACGCAUUAAGUUGACCGCCUGGGGAGUACGGUCGCAAGAUUAAAACUCAAAGGAAUUGACGGGGGCCCGGCACAAGCGGUGGAGUAUGUGGUUUAAAUUCGAUGCAACGCGGAGAACCUUACCUGGUCUUGACAUCCCGGGAAUCCUUAGGAAACUAGGGAGUGCCUUCAUUAGAAGGAACCUGGAGACAGGUGCUGCAUGGCUGUCGUCAGCUCGUGUCGUGAGAUGUUGGGUUAAGUCCCGCAACGAGCGCAACCCUUGCCUUUAGUUGCCAGCAGUUCGGCUGGGCACUCUAAAGGGACUGCCGGUGUCAAACCGGAGGAAGGUGGGGAUGACGUCAAGUCCUCAUGGCCUUUAUGACCAGGGCUACACACGUACUACAAUGGCCGAUACAAAGGGCAGCGACACUGCGAGGUGGAGCCAAUCCCAUAAAAUCGGUCUCAGUCCGGAUUGGAGUCUGC
rnacentral:rRNA from 1 species